rnacentral:lncRNA from 1 species
UAUUUUUUCUUUAAACGCGAUCGGACAGUCGAGAUCAAAUGCGAUGAACGGUCCAAAUUUAAGGGAGACGGGUAUAAAUAUCUCUAAUCACAUUGAACCUAAACCUUAGCUGCCAGUCUCCUGCCGAAGAAGAAGAACCAGUCGCUGGAGAAGGGAGCCGACCACCACCCGUCGCUGCACCGGAGCCACCUCUGACUGCCAAAAAAUAUAAAAAUUCUCCUAUCCGCUUGAAAUUUGAUU